GCGCCCGUAGCUCAACUGGAUAGAGCGUCUGGCUACGGACCAGAAGGUUUGGGGGUCGAAUCCCCUACGGGCGUACCA
rnacentral:tRNA from 1 species